rnacentral:rRNA from 1 species
UACGAAGGCCCCAAGCGUUAUCCGGAAUUACUGGGUGUAAAGCGUCUGUAGGUGGUCUGGACAGUCUCAAGUGAAAGGUCAGGGCUCAACCCUGUACUUGCUUGGGAAACUAUCAGACUUGAGUGUGGGAGAGGCAAGCAGAAUAGUAAGAGUAGGGGUGCAAUCCGUUGAUACUUACUAGAAUACCAAAAGCGAAGGCAGCUUGCUGGAACACUACUGACACUGGGAGACGAAAGCGUGGGGAGCAAAAGGG